rnacentral:rRNA from 1 species
AGCGGAGGAAAAGAAACCAACAGGGAUUGCCUCAGUAACGGCGAGUGAAGCGGCAAAAGCUCAAAUUUGAAAUCCCCCCGGGGAGUUGUAAUUUGAAGAUUGCGUCUUGGAGGCGACCGUGUCUAUGUUCCUUGGAACAGGACGUCACAGAGGGUGAGAAUCCCGUGCGGCACGGCCCCCGGCUCCUUAUAAGGCGCUCUCGACGAGUCGAGUUGUUUGGGAAUGCAGCUCAAAGUGGGUGGUAAAUUCCAUCUAAAGCUAAAUACAGGCGAGAGACCGAUAGCGAACAAGUACAGUGAUGGAAAGAUGAAAAGCACUUUGAAAAGAGAGUGAAACAGCACGUGAAAUUGUUGAAAGGGAAGGGCAUGCCGUCAGAUUGUCAGUGUGGGUAAGAAGCGGGGUACAAAGACUGUGGAACGUGGCCCUCGGGUGUUAUAGCCGCAGUUCAUGCCCCGUCUCUUUCCGAGGCCUGCUUUGAGGACACCGACGUAAUGACGGUACGCCGCCCGUCUUGAA